AGUGAACGCUGGCGGUAGGCCUAACACAUGCGAGUCGAACGGCAGCACAGUAAGAGCUUGCUCUUACGGGUGGCGAGUGGCGGACGGGUGAGGAAUACAUCGGAAUCUACUUUUUCGUGGGGGAUAACGUAGGGAAACUUACGCUAAUACCGCAUACGACUUACGGGUGAAAGCAGGGGAUCUUCGGACCUUUGGCGAUUUAAUGAGCCGAUGUCGGAUUAGCUAGUUGGCGGGGUAAAGGCCCACCAAGGCGACGAUCCGUAGCUGGUCUGAGAGGAUGAUCAGCCACACUGGAACUGAGACACGGUCCAGACUCCUACGGGAGGCAGCAGUGGGGAAUAUUGGACAAUGGGCGCAAGCCUGAUCCAGCCAUACCGCGUGGGUGAAGAAGGCCUUCGGGUUGUAAAGCCCUUUUGUUGGGAAAGAAAAGCAGCAGGUUAAUACCCCGCUGUUCUGACGGUACCCAAAGAAUAAGCACCGGCUAACUUCGUG
rnacentral:rRNA from 1 species